CUUUAAUCUUAAUUGGCAUUCAUUUAUCAGCGUAUAUGGCUGUACGUUAGUAGAGGCAUCAAUUCUUAAACAAAAUUUAGAAUGGCAUCACCCGUAAAUUAGCGAAAAUCGAAGUCCAAUACCGCCAACUACACGCUCAAGGAUCUCUCUCCGUAGGCUUCCGCCAGUACCGUUCCCUUUUCCUUUCCCUUUCUCUUGCCCUUUCAAGUCUCAACUCACUUUCACAGCUCUUAGCAACUGUCCUUUUCUCUCUGCUACUACGCUAACACAUUCAACUCUCUUUCUCUCUCUCUCUGUAGAACAGAACAGCCAUAAUAACCGCCACAAUGCAGCUCUCCGCUGUCGUUUUUAUACUGCUACUGCUCUCCUCUGCCGCCACCCUCAGCAACGCCCAUAACAUCACGCGCCUACUCGCCAAGCACCCAGCUUUCUCCACCUUUAACCACUACCUAACCAUAACCCACCUGGCCGCCGAGAUCAACCGCCGCACAACCAUCACCGUCUGCGCAGUCGACAACGCCGCCAUGUCUGAGCUCCUCUCCAAGCACCCUUCCAUCCACACCAUUAAGAACAUUCUCUCCCUCCACGUCCUCUUAGACUACUUUGGCGCCAAGAAGCUCCACCAGAUAACCAACGGCACAGCACUGGCCGCCACCAUGUUCCAGGCAACGGGAUCUGCACCGGGAUCGGCGGGGUUCGUUAACAUCACUGAUAUGAAGGGAGGGAAGGUAGCAUUAGGACCGGAGGACAACGGCGGGAGUCUUGAUGUGUACUUCGUGAAAUCUUUGGAGGAAGUGCCUUAUAACAUUUCGGUUAUACAGAUCAGCAAGGUUUUGCCUUCGGACGUGGCUGAGGCUCCGACGCCGGGGCCGAGCCAGAUGAACCUGACUGACAUAAUGUCGGCUCAUGGUUGUAAGGUUUUCGCUGAUACUUUACUGGCAAAUUCUGAAGCUUCUAAGACUUAUCAGGACAAUCUUGAUGGAGGAUUAACAGUGUUUUGCCCUCUUGAUGAUCCAUUCAAAGCUUUCCUACCUAGAUUCAAAAACUUAACAGCAGCAGGCAAAACUUCAUUCCUUGAAUUCUUUGGUGUGCCUGUCUAUCAAUCUCUGUCUACGUUAAAAUCCAAUAAUGGUCUCAUGAACACUCUGGCUACUGAUGGAGCAAACAAGUUUGAUUUCACAGUGCAAAAUGAUGGUGAGGAUGUGACAUUGAAGACGAAGAGUACCACAGCAAAAAUUACUGGGACAUUGAUAGAUGAGCAGCCAGUUGCUGUAUAUACCAUUAACAAGGUUUUGUUGCCUAAAGAAUUGUUCAAGGCAGAAGCACCAACCCCUGCUCCAGCACAUGCCCCAGAGAAAGCCGCAGAUGCACCAAAAUCCAGUAAGAGUAAGGACUUGUCUUCAGCACCAUCAGACUCACCAGCAGAUGCACCAGCUGACGACCCAGCUGAUCAAGCAGCUGAUGAAAAUGCUGGUGUGAGAUUUAACGGUGGAAGAUUCACUGCUACGGUGUUAAGUUUGUGGUUAGGACUUUUGAUGCUGUAAGUUUUUUCAAUAUUGCUUUUCGCCAAGAUUGUGGGGAACAAGUCAGGGCCUUAAUGGGCUAAUUUAUUACUCUUUUUUCUUUUUUAUUUUUUUUAGUGCGUGGUUAUUUUUUCUUUUGUUUUCAAGAGGAUUUUCAGAGGUUUGUGAUUUGUAUUUUGUAACAGAUGUUGUAGAUCUAUUGAUACACAUUGUUAUGGUCACUAAUCAGGAAGAUUUUGGCAUUGUAAUAUAAAACUAUUGUGUGCAAUCUUUAAUUCCUUGAUUUGCUACACGAUAAGGAAUUUGAUUUGUUAUGGAAAUGUUAGAUAUCUCUAAACCGAGCCGGACUUGCCAUUGUACUUCAGUGCUUUGCAAUGCCUGCC
rnacentral:misc_RNA from 1 species